GGAAUGUAGCCAGAAAUGUCGGCAUGUAACAGUCACAAACUCCACCAGCGGUUAGCAGUAGUUGGAUAAAAGCCCCCCAUUUCUGCACCAGUCCGUGUCCGUGUUAACACAGCCCACCUCUAUGGGAC